rnacentral:tRNA from 1 species
AGGCCGAUGGCGAAAUGGUAGACGCAUAGCACUUAAAAUGCUCCGCUUUAAAGCAUGAGGGUUCGAGUCCCUCUCGGCCUACCA